AGACGAUCUUCGGAUGAGUCAGGAAGAUGGAAAGCGGCGGACGGGUGAGUAACGCGUAGGCAACCUGCCCUCAGCAGAGGGAUAGCCAUUGGAAACGAUGAUUAAAACCUCAUAAUGCUGCAGUAACACAUGUUACAGCAGCCAAAGAGUUUAUCGGCUGGGGAUGGGCCUGCGUCUGAUUAACUGGUUGGUGAGGUAACGGCUCACCAAGGUAACGAUCAGUAGCCGACCUGAGAGGGUGAUCGGCCACAUUGGAACUGAGACACGGUCCAAACUUCUACGGAAGGCAGCAGUAAGGAAUCUUGCACAAUGGGGGAAACCCUGAUGCCAGCAACGCCGCGUGAACGAUGAAGGCCUUAGGGUUGUAAAGUUCUGAUCUGUGGGAAGAAGAAAGUGACGGUACCACAGGAGAAAGCCCCGGCUAAAUACGUGCCAGCAGCUGC
rnacentral:rRNA from 1 species